AUUGAACGCUGGCGGCAGGCCUAACACAUGCAAGUCGAGCGGAUGAAGGGAGCUUGCUCCUGGAUUCAGCGGCGGACGGGUGUGUAAUGCCUAGGAAUCUGCCUGGUAGUGGGGGAUAACGUCCGGAAACGGGCGCUAAUACCGCAUACGUCCUGAGGGAGAAAGUGGGGGAUCUUCGGACCUCACGCUAUCAGAUGAGCCUAGGUCGGAUUAGCUAGUUGGUGGGGUAAAGGCCUACCAAGGCGACGAUCCGUAACUGGUCUGAGAGGAUGGUCAGUCACACUGGAACUGAGACACGGUCCAGACUCCUACGGGAGGCAGCAGUGGGGAAUAUUGGACAAUGGGCGAAAGCCUGAUCCAGCCAUGCCGCGUGUGUGAAGAAGGUCUUCGGAUUGUAAAGCACUUUAAGUUGGGAGGAAGGGCAGUAAGUUAAUACCUUGCUGUUUUGACGUUACCAACAGAAUAAGCACCGGCUAACUUCGUG
rnacentral:rRNA from 1 species